rnacentral:rRNA from 1 species
GACGAACGCUGGCGGCGUGCUUAAAACAUGCAAGUCGAACGGUGAAGCUCGGAGCUUGCUCUGAGCGGAUCAGUGGCGAACGGGUGAGUAACACGUGAGUAACCUGCCCUGGACUCUGGGAUAACCUCGGGAAACCGAGGCUAAUACCGGAUACGAGACGCACAGGCAUCUGUAGCGUCUGGAAAGAUUUAUCGGUCCAGGAUGGACUCGCGGCCUAUCAGCUUGUUGGUGGGGUAACGGCCCACCAAGGCGACGACGGGUAGCCGGCCUGAGAGGGUGACCGGCCACACUGGGACUGAGACACGGCCCAGACUCCUACGGGAGGCAGCAGUUGGGAAUAUUGCACAAUGGGCGCAAGCCUGAUGCAGCGACGCCGCGUGAGGGAUGACGGCCUUCGGGUUGUAAACCUCUUUCAGCAGGGAAGAAGCGAAAGUGACGGUACCUGCAGAAGAAGCACCGGCUAACUACGUG